GGAAACCUUGCUGCACACUCAGAGAAUGAGAAUCUAUGAGGCCAAGGGCAUCCAGUCUUACAUGACCCCCAGGGACCCCUGAAGUUGCCCCAGGAUGCCUUGAUGGACCACGUCUUGAAACAUCACUCUGGGGAGAUGACCCAAAGUUCUCCUUAAAGGCAGAAGAUGCUGGAGCCUCGCCCUGACCGUCUGUGCUCAGGAGGCUCCCAUGUAGCUGCAGCUCUCCUCAGUGGGCUGCUUCUGCCCCUCCUCAGCCUGUGCAACACACACGUCCUUGAGGUCAGGGGUCAAGCGGUGUGGCCAUGCCUCACUCUCUGUGCUGACCUGGAAGAGCAGUGGUUAGAAUUAGCGAGUGUUAGAAAUGUGUUCGAAUCCUCGCCACCUCUGCCUAGCACAAGUGGGAAUCAGGGUGUGUGUGUGUGUGUACGUGUGUAACAGUAAGGGAUCAUUUGUCACGUCCGUGUUGUGGGGUGAUGUAAUGGUGAG
rnacentral:lncRNA from 1 species